GGUCCAGAAAUCCCAAAAUUUCUGCCUUGUGUGAUGCCCCACCUCUCUCUGACAUUGAUUUUUGGGUCAUAGAGAGGUUUGAUCCCCAUAAAAAAUGAGAUUUGGGGGGUUAGAGGGUCCAGGAAAAGUUUAAUCCCCAUAAAAAAUGAGAUUUUGGGGAAAUUUUGGGGAUUUUGGGGUCCAAAAACCCCAAAAUCUGCAAUUUAUGUGAAGCCCCACCUUCUUUAAAAUUGAUUUUUAGACCUAAGAGAGGAUUUAUCCCCAUAAAAAAAUCAGAUUUGGGGGUUUAGAGGGUCCAAGCAAAGCUUCACCCCCAUAAAAAAUCCUAUUUGGAGGUUUAGGGUGUGAUUUUGGGGGAAUUUGGGAGGUUCUGGGAGGAUUUGGGGAAUUUUGGGUUUUGUUUUUUUUUAUAUAUCACUGAUGAUGGCAUUGUUGGCAAAUCAUGAUGUAUUAAAACGUGAGGAUGAGGA